CACCGAAGAGUUUGGGGGAAGACAUUAAAACAGAAGCAGAAUCUGAGCUCACUUCAACGGACAUUAGUUGUGCCAUUUGGUGUCUGCAGGGCACUGGGCUAGGUGUCAGAGGACAGAGGUGAGGAAGAAGUCGUCCCGCCCUGAAGGAUCUCAGUCUAGUCAGAGACAAGCUGUAAAUGGAUUAGUUCAAUAUGCUGUGGUGAUGAUAGUGAAGCUUGCUCUGGAGGAUGCUGUGAGGUCCGCUCUGGAGAUAGUUGCAAAGGGCCGUGGAUUGUUGUGCUCCUGGUGGACGGCACCAUUCCUGAGAUGGCUCUCCAUCCAUUUUUCCUGCUUGGCUGUUUUCUGGAAAGUGGAGAAAAAUGAUGGAGCUCUGCCCCAAGGAUCUCCUCUCACCACGAAUGCUAACAGAGCAGACACUCUGAACCGGCGGAGACGACUCAGCAUUUCCGAGGUUAUAGUAUCUGAGUCUCAGAGAUGUGAAAGCCUUGUUCAAACAUACACAAUUCUCAUAAGUGGCAGAGUUGAAAUGAAAACACAGGUAUCUUGACUCCAAGAACAGAGCUUUUCUGUGGCUGCUCAGAAAUAGGCAGGUAAGAAGACUGCCAGGUCAUUUUAAGAGCUGGGACUAGGAAGGCCAACUGGAAUGAACCCACUACAGGGCUCCCUUAGUCAGAGGCCUUGGCGGGAAGUGUGUUAUGGGAAGUAUGAAUUAACACAUGGCCCUGAGGAGUGGAGGCUGUGAGAUCACACUGCAUUCAGGCAGCAGGCCCUCCACAAUGACUCCCAGCCUGCCUUCCCCAGAAGGAGUAGAGUUGGACUGACAUUACCCUUAUUUCUGACCAUUUGACUUUUCUUACUGAGCCCCCAUGGCCAAUCAUCAGGCGGUAGCAACACAGGGUCAUCCAGUGGAAUGCUUUCCAGCCAAUUCAGCAAGAUCAUUUGGGGUAAAAAGGAUAAGUGGGUGGAAAAAACUGGCUAUUUUUGAUGCAGUGUUUUAGGGGUUCUGGAUGCAAUUGCUCUAUGAAUAUGAAGCUUCUGAGACCUUCUGGGAAAAAGGCAAUUUGGAUCAGCCCCAUGACCAUAUGGCCACGAGGCAGGAACCAUUUUGUGAACCACCGAAGAGAACUGAGCAGACUGUGCUGACCAGCCUCAGAGACCACAAAUUGGGCUGGUUCUACGGCUUUCCUCUACGUGCUUGGCCAUGGCUUUGGCCCUUAAGAUAAGAGACUAUGUGGACCAAAAGGAAGAAGUGAAAACGGAAGAACAGGGGGAAUAAAGACUUGCAAGAAAUGUUUUUUUAUCUACCUACAAAGAAGUGAGAAAAAAUAGCUUGGAGAAGCAGGUCUCGCCACUCUUGAAUCCAUUUUGAUGAUGUCUUUGUGUAUCCUACAAAAAAAAAAAAAGUGCUAUCUGAAUGGUCAAGACCCUCAUUUGGAUAUGGAUGUCAUCCUUGGUCCCCAUAGUCAGUACAGUGCAGCCAUAUCUGGUGCUAACUGUCUGAGUUUAAUCCUGGCUCCCCCACCUACAUGCUGUGUGACUUUGGGCAAGUUAUGUGAACUUUCUGUACCUUAACUCUUUCAUCAAUGAAAUGCUCCUCAAAAUGUUCUUGUAUGGAUUAGAUGAAUAUAUCUAUAUCUGUAUUUCUGUGUUUGUUAGUAGUGCUUUGCAUGUAGUAAGCACUUAACAAAUGUUAACUGUUACUAUAACCAUUCCUUCUCCACUUCAUACACAUCAGUCCUAUCUGUAUCUCAUAAGUUCAGUGGCUUUCUCUCCAGGACUCAUUUUUAGCCUUCUUGAAUGCAGAUAUAUAACUGCAGGCUAAGGGAGAGAUGGUUUUUUUCACCAGCUUUAUACCCCACUUAAAUUGUUGGCAUCUAAAUCCAACCUGAGACUUUUAAGUAUUUUGCCAAUUUACUGAGUCCAGCAAAUAACUCCUCGUGCCUAGUGCCUACAGGGUGUGGUACAAGAUGUGCCUUUCUGGUUUGGCAUUGGUUCCCCUGAUAACUCCUUCCACUCCCUACCCAUUCAACCUUUCUCGUAUAUGAAAUUAUAUUCUUUGGCCAUUCAUUUCACGUAAUUGCAGCAUUUAGUUUUGAGUCUGUGCCCAGAGGCCUGUGGGCAGUGGGCAUGUUUAAGAAAUCUAAUAAAUGAAGGGAAAUAAAUGUACAGAGUGAAAAGUAAAUGGGCCAAUACUAUUCAGAGAAAAACCCCAAAGUGACUGCCUGCUUGCUAGAACAGGAAUAAUUUUAGAACAGGUCAGUAAUGUAAACAAAGUUAAUGAGAACAUUUUGCUUAGUAAAUAUACUAGGUCUGUGCUUUCUACCUUUCUCCUGGGUCUUUGCUUCAUAAGAGGAGUCUUACGACCCUUUUCUGGUGAAUAAAGUGCCUUGACCAGAAGCCAAGGUGGUCAGCCUUUUGCUCCAUUCAGCUCUCAGGUGACCAAGGCUAUAUGGAGGCUGUGGGGUAAUUUAAUUUUCCUUUACUAGCUCUUUUGAAAAAGAUACUGUGAGUAUUCAGUUUACACAAAUGGGGGAGCUCUCAAUCUGCUUUGUAAAUCAUUCUUUUCCUUUUGUUGACUUUGUCUCUGGAUGUGUCUUGUUGGGCUCAGCUUAUGUCCUCCUCCCUCCUCGAUGUAAUUAAGUGGCUCCCAGAACAGCUAGUCACAUGGAUACACUUUCAUCUGGUUGGUCACACCAGGCUCAGAAAGCAUUCAUACCUGUGUCCUUCACUCAUUUUACUAACUGAUGUUUUAAAAAUGCUAUCUAUCCAUCCAUCUAUCCAUCUAUUCCGGAGAAUUUUUACAUAUGGUUUGUUUCAUUGAUCUGACCCUUCUUGAGGAAUAACUGUGGCUUAUAUUCUUAGACUCCUUUGCACUUGACAAAGAAUAUUCACACGUACAAUGGUGGAAAGAGCCUGAAAUUGAUAGUUAUAUACCUGGUUCAAAUCCUGUCUUUGCUGGUUGCUAGUUCUGUAAUGUGAGGCAAAUCAUUUAUCCUUUCUUAGCCUGAGAUUUUCAUGUGUUAAAUGGAGACCAUCAUUAUAUAUAUGUAUAGCAUCCAUGUAGGAAUGUGUGAUGAAUAUAUUACAAAAUGAUGAGGUAAUAAAGACAAACAUUUUUAUCUCCAUUAAAAAAGGAGAAAAUUGAGCAUAGCAAGCACUGUUUCUGCCCUACCCAUAUGCCUUUCUCUUAUGUGGGAAGGUACCUACAGAUGGUUCUCCUGCACUGGGUCAGCCUCCUGGGUUUCUCUGCAUGGGGGUGUCCUUUGACCUUUGGGUAGACCAGAAGUGCUUGAGAACUAACAUUUGAAGAGAAACUUCCAGUUAAUGAGGGACAGGAGUAGGUGGUAAGUACCCGUGCUUCCUUGCCCUUUGGUGGGACAAUUCUGAGCUGAGUUCUACACAGUCACACAGAGAGUUCUUGGUAGGGUAGGAGGGUGGAUUGAGCCCCAGCUGCCCAGGGCAGUAAACCACUCACUAACAUUUCCUUCCCUGUCCCUCUUCUCAACUAGUUUCUUGGGCUCACCCCAUCUUUGAUAUGAUUUUGAGAUGACCCAGAUAAGACAGCAAGACUCUCAGAGGUUAAGAUGUUCAUGCACAGUCACAUAGCACUUGAGGGGCAGAGGUGUUAUAUGCCUUUUCUGCUGAAAUACUCUCCAUGGUGUUAUGGGAUUACACAUGCGGGAGACUAAAAAUCAAUUUUAUGCAAUUUUUCAUUGGAAAACAUAGUGAUUAUUGAGAAAAAAAAACCCAACUUUUUUCCCCUUUACUUUUAGAUUUAUGAAGCAUAUUUUAAAAAGACAAGGGAAGAAGAAUCUUGAGGUGAACAGAUGAAAGUUGCACAGUCAAUAAAAAUGAGAUCUGGGAAGUAAGGGAGGAACAUCAGUUGAGACUUUGAAAAACUUCUGAAGCCAUAGAAAUAAAUUUUAAAACAAUUACCUUUAUAUUAGGAAGAACAAUAAAAGAAUGGCAUUUCUGCUUGGGAAAGGUGGCCUAAAGUUAACCAAAGUAGAGAAGGCAGAACCAUUUGAGUUUUUGUUUCUCUUUCCUUUGUUUUUCUUUAAAGAGAACUGUCUUCAAAUGAUAAAAUUUGGCACUCACUUGCUUAAGAUUAAAUUGACACUUAAGUUUGGGGGGGAGCUACUAAGAGAUCAUUUAGCAGCUCACAAUGCAUUGCUGUCUCAGGCCUAGACAUCAUUCAACUUUGUAUACUGGAAAAACGAGAAGAUAUGAUAACAGAAUCAUUUCAAUAAUUAUCAACUUACUGUGGAGACUUGGGGAAGUGCCAAAAGUUCUGACACAUACAUCUAUAAUACAGAAACUACAGACAGAUACGUCUGAAUUUUGUUCUAGAUAAAAAUUCUAAAGUGGAUUGUUAGGAUACAGUUAUUUAAUAUUUAGAAAAAGGAGGUGGUCAUCCCUACAAAGCAGGAAAGUUUUGCUGAAACACAUUAUCGCAAUUAACCUUAUUUUGAAUUUGUGAUUGCAUUAUUAGAUGUAAAUCAGGGGUGUGUUUUUGUGUAGUGAAUAUUGUUAUACACAAGAGUGUACGUUGAUUUUCACCUUCGUGUUGAUUUGCAGUUUUGUUUGUUGAUUAGUGUAUUAAUUGAAGUAAUGUCAACUGAAUGGCCUUCUCACUCAGUGGAUUCAGAACUCAUGAAACAUGUCCUUAGGCUUUUAGUUCAAAGGAGGAUUGCUAUUUUUUGGUAUCAUUUAGUUUUGGAACAGGUUGAUUUGUAUGGUUUUGGUGUCAGGCCUCAGUUCAAAUACUGGCUCCAACAGUUUUUAAGUAAAUCAAGAAACUCUUAGUUUCCUUAGCUACAAAAUGGGGAGAAAAAAUAACAGUUAUUUCAUAGCGUUCUUUUGAUGAUUAGAUGAAAUAAAGUGUGUCAAAGAACGUCAUAAAUUAUUAUGCCUUAUAUAAAUGAUAGUGAUUAUUGCAUUUUAACAAGACAGUGUCUAAAUUUUCAAUCAUUAUGAGAAAAUC
rnacentral:lncRNA from 1 species